AGACAAGAAAACAACCAGGGAAGGCACACAGGUAAGUGAAGGCCUCCGGGUACCCAAGUGCUGACAGGCCUUAGAAGACCAAGGACCGACAGGUCCUGCUCCCCCAGAGCUCAGGGGUGCAGACCCCAGGCCCGCCUCCCUCAGACCUAAGUAAGAGUCCAGACUCUAGCUGCCUCCUCCCUCAGACCCGAAGUCUGGGCCCCCAGCCCCUCCUCCCUCAGACCCUGGAGUCCAGGCCUCAGACCCUCCUCCCUUACAUCCAGGAGUACAGGCCCCACCCCUCCUCCCUCAGACCCAGGAGUCCAGUUCCCCAGCCCCUCCUCCGCCAGACCCAGGAGUACAGGUGCUUAUUCUCUGAAGGUAUUCGAUCAACUGGGCUCUGAUUACCUGAAAUACAAACCCAUUUUGGCAGUGACUCCAAUUCCCUUCAGCCCCUGGGGCUGAGGGGCAGCUACAGGGGCCUGGGGAGCCACUGCAGUCCUCACUGCAUGAGGCUCAGGCGGGUCCUCCCAGAGGGGAGUAGGAAGAGCAGGUCUGGCUGUGUCCAGCAGGCUGGGCCCUCUCUGGUGACCUUUGACCUCACAAGGCCUCUUUCCCCAGCCCUGUGGGGAGGCGUUGGGGCGUGAGGUUGAGAGAGACAGAGUGGCCUGGCCUGGCCUGCCCUGUGAGCUGGGUGAGUUGGCACUGAUUCUGGAAGAUGGACGUGAAUGGGCGUGGUCACUUGUCGCUAGACUCUGGGAAACGCUGCUGCUGUUUGACAUCGCACAGUCAGAAGGGAUCGUCUCAGCCAGCCUGCAGCAUCUGUCACUUUGACCAUGAGACGCUGCCUCGAUUUCCAAUCCAGGUGCAAAGCUUCAGAUAGGAGUUUGGGAAGCACAGCAAUCCCCAUCUCUUAUUUUUUUCAACUUUCAUUCCAAGAAAAUAGGACCUUGAGUCCAAUUCCCAGAGCUGAGACUUGAGGUCCAACUCUGCCUUCACCUGCACCCGGCCCUGGAGGUCUGGGCCCCUUUAUUCCAGCUCCCGCACAGGCUGAUGCCCCACCGCACCCCAGGGCUCCGCUCCCCAAAUCACAACCUCCCCACCCCCACGCCUCCCUCAUUACAGGGUCCUCCACCAUGUUUCCCUUUUUUUUUUUUUUUUUACCUCCCCGCCAAUUACUUGCCCCACCUCAUCCGCGUCUACCUGCUCCCCCUCACCCCAUUAAAGCCUCGUGCUCCUUUCCAAA